CGGGUUCGAUCCCUGGGUUGGGAAGAUCCCCUGGAGAAGGAAAGGGCCACCCACUCCAGUAAUCUUGUCUGGAAAAUCCCAUGGACAUAGAAGCCUGGCAGGACAACUGUUUCCUCUGAUUUGGAACACAGAUCAGAGACACGAGGACACAGAAGUGGAUUCUGCUGGGCCCACAAAGGCCUCACUGCCCGGCUGACAGCCCCCAGUCCCGUGGCCCUGCCCCAGGAAUCCUCCUUCCACCCGUGGGCUUUCAGUCCUCUUCCUGCCCUCAUGGGCUCUUCCCCAGCAGCUGUGGUCUCCCAGAGGUGGUACCUGUGGGCCUCUGUCCGGGGCUUGCUGUCUUUAGGCCUCCUCUUCACAGAGAAGCUGGUGGCCUGGAGUCCAACCACAGCUGGUUGAGUGAUGCUGAGCUUUUCACCUAAGACUUUGAGGGGCAGUGACUCCAAAAGUAACUCCAAAAGCCCCCAGAGUCCGUGUAACUCCACGGACUCUGGGGGCUGUGGUGGGUGGGGUGGGCUGAU
ensembl:lncRNA